rnacentral:rRNA from 1 species
CCUUCGGGUCUAGUGGCGCACGGGUGCGUAACGCGUGGGAAUCUGCCCUUUGCUACGGAAUAACUCAGAGAAAUUUGUGCUAAUACCGUAUAAUGUCGGAAGACCAAAGAUUUAUCGGCAAAGGAUGAGCCCGCGUAAGAUUAGCUUGUUGGUGGGGUAAAGGCCUACCAAGGCGACGAUCUUUAGCUGGUCUGAGAGGAUGAUCAGCCACACUGGGACUGAGACACGGCCCAG